rnacentral:rRNA from 1 species
AUUGAACGCUGGCGGCAUGCUUUACACAUGCAAGUCGAACGGCAGCACGGACUUCGGUCUGGUGGCGAGUGGCGAACGGGUGAGUAAUACAUCGGAACGUACCCAGUAAUGGGGGAUAACUAUCCGAAAGGAUAGCUAAUACCGCAUACGCCCUACGGGGGAAAGAGGGGGAUCGCAAGACCUCUUGUUAUUGGAGCGGCCGAUGGCUGAUUAGCUAGUUGGUAGGGUAAAGGCCUACCAAGGCAACGAUCAGUAGCGGGUCUUAGAGGACGAUCCGCCACACUGGAACUGAGCAACGUUCCAGACGCCUACGGGAGGCAGCAGUGGGGAAUCUUGGACAAUGGGCGCAAGCCUGAUCCAGCAAGGCCGCGUGCGUGAAGAAGGCCUUCGGGUUGUAAAGCGCUUUUGUCAGGGAGCAAAUCCUUGUGGCUAAUACCCACCGGGGAUGAGAGUACCUGAAGAAUAAGGACCGGCUAACUACGUGCCAGCAGCCGCCGUAAGAC